rnacentral:lncRNA from 1 species
CAGAAUAAAAGGGAAACUGCAAUCUUAUAAAUCAUCACGGAAGAGAGAGAAUAAGUGAUUGUCUGGGAUUGACUCUUGGGCAGAGCUUUGGAGAACUUCCUAUCUUUCAGGGUUUCCCUUGUUAGUUAUUCUUUAUCCUGUACUUCUUGUGUGGACCUGGACAAACAAGAGAAAUGGAAUCACAGUGAGGGGAAGAAGUAGGGAAUAACAAAGAUGACCACCCGAAAGCAGAAAAAGCAGCAGGAGAGGGCAACUGCAUGCAAAUCUAUUUUGCAUUGAGCACAUCUUGGGACUUACUCUGUGCUUCUUCUAGACCAUAUGGUAUUCCUGGGUUUCAUAUCACACACAAAGAAUAA